rnacentral:rRNA from 1 species
CACGUAGGCGGAUAUUUAAGUCAGGGGUGAAAUCCCAGAGCUCAACUCUGGAACUGCCUUUGAUACUGGGUAUCUUGAGUAUGGAAGAGGUAAGUGGAGUUCCGAGUGUAGAGGUGAAAUUCGUAGAUAUUCGGAGGAACACCAGUGGCGAAGGCGGCUUACUGGUCCAUUACUGACGCUGAGGUGCGAAAGCGUGGGGAGCAAACA